AUUGAACGCUGGCGGCAGGCUUAACACAUGCAAGUCGAGCGGAGAUGAGGUGCUUGCACCUUAUCUUAGCGGCGGACGGGUGAGUAAUGCUUAGGAAUCUGCCUAUUAGUGGGGGACAACAUUCCGAAAGGAAUGCUAAUACCGCAUACGCCCUACGGGGGAAAGCAGGGGAUCUUCGGACCUUGCGCUAAUAGAUGAGCCUAAGUCGGAUUAGCUAGUUGGUGGGGUAAAAGCCUACCAAGGCGACGAUCUGUAGCGGAUCUGCGAGGAUGAUCCGCCACACUGGGACUGAGACACGGCCCAGACUCCUACGGGAGGCAGCAGUGGGGAAUAUUGGACAAUGGGCGGAAGCCUGAUCCAGCCAUGCCGCGUGUGUGAAGAAGGCCUUUUGGUUGUAAAGCACUUUAAGCGAGGAGGAGGCUACCUGGAUUAAUACUCUAGGAUAGUGGACGUUACUCGCAGAAUAAGCACCGGCUAACUCUGUGCCAGCAGCCGCCGUAAUAC
rnacentral:rRNA from 1 species